CAAUAGCGUAUAUUAAAGUUGUUGCAGUUAGAACGCUCGUAGUCGGAUUUCGGGGCGGGCCGACCGGUCUGCCGAUGGGUAUGCACUGGUCGGCGCGUCCUUCCUUCCGGAGACCGUUCCUACUCUUAACUGAGCGGGGGCGGGAGACGGAUCGUUUACUUUGAAAAAAUCAGAGUGUUUCAAGCAGGCAGCUCGCUCUUGCAUGGAUUAGCAUGGGAUAAUGAAAUAGGACUUUGGUGCUAUUUUGUUGGUUUCGAACACCGAAGUAAUGAUUAAAAGGGACAGUCAGGGGCACUCGUAUUCCGCCGAGAGAGGUGAAAUUCUCAGACCAGCGGAAGACGAACUACUGCGAAAGCAUUUGCCAGGGAUGUUUNCACUG
rnacentral:rRNA from 1 species